rnacentral:lncRNA from 1 species
GCUGAAUUGGCUCCAACACUGGGAAAACCCAGGCGACCUCAUAGGCAAGAGAAGACUGCAGAUUGCACUCAGGCAGAGACAAGGGGCUGUAGGUGGAAACUGUGCCCCCAAGCGCGUGGGCAGAGAGCACUUUCUGGCCCCUCCGCAGCCCGGGUGAGAAGACUGGCCUGAAACAAGCCUUCAACGUUUCCCAUACCUGCCUGUCCUCCAGCACCAGCAUCACCGCCCCCCCAGCACGACAAAGGAAAUGCAUCAAUGAACAGAAUAAAAUCCUCUCCAAAUGGAAGAUAGAAAUCAGAAUCUUGGAGGAUGGUUGCCUCGGCACCCUCUGGAGAAGUAGCUGGCACACACCCAACUAGAAACAAGGUAACGUGACAGUGACAGAGCAAUUUCAUGAAGAGG